UGCAACUGGCUUCAUGUACCAGCGAUGCCC
rnacentral:piRNA from 1 species